rnacentral:rRNA from 1 species
AGCAUAGUGAUAUGUGAAGCUGACCAAUACUAAUUGCUCGUGAGGCUUGACUAUACAACACCCA